AGUGAACGCUGGCGGUAGGCCUAACACAUGCAAGUCGAACGGCAGCACAGUAAGGGCUUGCUCUUACGGGUGGCGAGUGGCGGACGGGUGAGGAAUACAUCGGAAUCUACUUUUUCGUGGGGGAUAACGUAGGGAAACUUACGCUAAUACCGCAUACGACCUACGGGUGAAAGCAGGGGAUCUUCGGACCUUGCGCGAUUGAAUGAGCCGAUGUCGGAUUAGCUAGUUGGCGGGGUAAAGGCCCACCAAGGCGACGAUCCGUAGCUGGUCUGAGAGGAUGAUCAGCCACACUGGAACUGAGACACGGUCCAGACUCCUACGGGAGGCAGCAGUGGGGAAUAUUGGACAAUGGGCGCAAGCCUGAUCCAGCCAUACCGCGUGUGUGAAGAAGGCCUUCGGGUUGUAAAGCCCUUUUGUUGGGAAAGAAAAGCAGCAGGUUAAUACCCCGCUGUUCUGACGGUACCCAAAGAAUAAGCACCGGCUAACUUCGUG
rnacentral:rRNA from 1 species